GGAGUUCCCGUUGAGUCUCAGUGGUUAACGAAUCCAACUAGUAGCCAUGAGGUUGCGGGUUCGAUCUCUGGCCUUGCUCAGUGGGUUAAGGAUCUGGCGUUGCCAUGAGCUGUGGUGUAGGUUGCAGACGUGGCUCGGAUACUGCAUUGCUGUGGCUGUUGGUGUAGGCCUGCGGCUACGGCUCUGAUUGGACCCCUAGCCUGGGAACCAACAUAUGCUGUGGCAUGGCCCUAAAAAGACCAAAAAAAAAAAAAAAAAAAAAAGAAAUACCAAGCAAUCCCACUCCCAGGCAUAUAUCCAGACAAAACCAUAAUUCAAAAAGAUACAUGCACCUGUAUGUUCAUAGCAGCACUACUCACAAUAGUCAAGGCAUGGAAACAACCUUAAUGUCCAUCAACUGAUGAAUGGAUUAAGAUGUGGUACAUAUAUAAACAAUGGAAUACAACUCAGCCAUAAAAGAGAAUUGAAAUAAUACCAUUUUUAGCAACAUGGAUUCUCAUACUAAGUGAAGUAAGUCAGAAAGAGAAAGACAAAUACCAUAUGAUAUCACUUAUAUGUGGAAUCUAAAAUAUGGCACAAACGAACCUAUCUACAGAACAGAAACACCGUCACACACCUGGAGAAAAGAGUUUUGGCAGGAGAGGGAGUGGAAUGGAUUGGGAGUUUGGGGUUAGUAGAUGGAAACUAUUAUGUUUAGAAUGGAUAAGCAAUGAGGUUCUUCUAUGUAGCACAGAGAACUGUGAUAGAACAUGAUGGAAGACAAUAUGAGAAAAAGUACGACUGGGUCACUUUGCUAUACAGCAGAAAUUGGCACAACUGAGUGCAAGAAUACACUUCAGUCAAGGGUGUUCUCCAAGUGAAACACAGUUGGAAGAUAGAAAAGCAAUUCAACAAGUAGCAUGUGUAUGUGUUGUAUGUGGGUUUAAUAGAUUGGUUCUCUUGAUUCUUGGUGGUACUUUUACUAUUAGAUUGGCUUUUACAGUCAUUUAACGACCAGAAAUAAUUCCAAUAUUUGCAUUGACACAAAUGAUACAAGAGGAUGAAAAAUUUUACAGAAAUCUCUGUGUUUACAUAUAUUUAUAUAUGUGUAUACUUCGUAAUUUGUGUGAACUACUCACCCAUUUGAGCAAUAAUGAAGCUAAAUUAGGCAAUGAAAGGAAUGCAUUCUAUCAUAUUUAAGGCAAGGUCCUUGGUAUCUCUUGGCUGGUUUUCCUUUAUUUCUUAAUUACAUCCAUAUUAUGUUUUCAUGUAAAGAUGAGCUGAACAUACAGAUGGCCAAAAAAUUGUAAUGCUGUCUAAUGGAGUCAACACUGUUUCCCAUACAUACAUACAUUUAUGCCUUUUGAAACUGCCAUGUUUAAGUGUAGAAUGGAAAAUCUAGUUUUUGUGAUUUCUCACUUGAGGGUCACUUGAGGGUUUAUGGAAUGACUGGAGUCUUUGUUUCCUUUCUUGGCAUGUCCCCCUCAGGAUUCUCUGAAUUUCUGCUACAAGUGUAUACUUGAUGACAAUAAGGAUUAAUUUUUGGCAUGAACAUCCCAAUGGAUGCUGUCUCAUAGUUGAGGGGUACUGCACUCUGCCCUAAAGAAUUAUGACUAACUUCUAGCCAAUCCUAACCCUUUGUAGAACUUCAUCACUGAGAUUAGAUUCUUUGCAUUUGAUGCGAUCCGAGAGUGUGCAUUUUGCAGCUGUGGCAAACCGCCAUUUGUUAGGCCAGAUUCAGCCCACAGAUCAUUUUCUUUAAAUUUCUACAGGGCUUUCAUACAUUUUGUAAUACCUUAAGAACUGCUGCUGCACUCUCAUGUUUGUUUCUUAAAUCUUCCUAUUUGGGUAAGUCAACAUUAUUUAUCUGGCCCUGAAAUUCUUGGUACUUGAGUCUUCUCUGGUGCUAGAGGGGCUGUUGAAGGCUGCAGUAACAACAGAUUAUCAAUCUUACCUGCAAAAUUCUUCUUUCAGAGGGCUUUCAGGGUAUCCAUCGUUUAAGAAAUACCUCCUGGCUAUGCUGAUGUACAAGCAGGGUUGAGAACCAUUGUGAUAAUACUUUCCUGGAUAAGAGGAGCCAUUUGUCUCAUUAGAUGUAUUAACUAAACAAUAUUCACUAAUUCAAAGCUUAAACUACUGCUAUAGUUCUCAAAGGAAAAAAACCCUCAAAUAAACAAAACCAUAAAACCUGUAUUGAAUGAUUACUGUGUAUUCAGCCUCUCAUGUAUGUUAUGCUAUGUAGUCUUCACACAAAUGGAACAUUUUCUUGUUCUAAUCAUCUCAGUUUCUUGACCUUGAUCUCUAUGUUAUGUCCCUUUCCUACUCUCUUCAUGGGCUCAGAUCCUCACUCUGUCUCUUUACCCUGAUGUAUUUGCUUCAUAGAAAUUUAUUUUUCAACUGAAAUUAUUUUAUUUGUUAAUUUUUUGUGGCCUUUCUCCUGGAAUGAGAGCAGGACUUUGUUCAUGUUUGUAUUCCCUGGACCUAGAAUAGUGAAUGUUCCAUCAUCAGAACUGAGUAGAUAUUUAUUAAAUUAAUAAACAUCUGCUCAUUUAUCAUUAUCCUUAACUUCCUAUCUUCCUGUUGCAUCUUUUCUUUUUCCUUUCCUUUUGGUUAGAAAUUCUAAGACGUAUUUGAUGUCAAUUUUUUAGUAUCUUUAAAAUAUUGUUCAACCGAUUUAUUUAUUUAUUCUUUUUUUAGAGCCGCACCUGUAACAUAUGGAAGUUCCCAGGAGAUGAAUCAGAGCUGUAGCUGCCAGCCUACACUACAGCCAUAGUAAUGCCAGAUCCCAGCCACGUCUAUGACCUAUGCCAUAAUUGACGGCAACGCUGGAUCCUUAACCUAUGGAGCGAGGCCAGGGAUCAAACCCUAAUCCUCAGGGAUACUAGUGGGGUUCGUUACUGCUGAGCCACAACGGGAAAUCCCUGUUCAAUAUUUUGAUAUUUCCAAAAUAGUACCUCAGUAUUACUGUAGUUAUUAUCACCCAACCUGGAUAAUUGUGUUAUAUAGAGGUGAUUUUAAGAAGGAAAAAUUCAUGAUAAAAUUCUCUUUAAACUUUCAAUCAUACUUUUCUAAUUGUAGCUUUACAUACUUCACAAAGGUAUGGUGAUAAUUAACGUCUGUUUAGUCAUUUCAAAAUAAUAAGGCACCCUGCACCCCUAAAGGAAAAGUGUUCUAUAAAUGUACAUAAUUAGUAUUAUAGGUUUCUCGUUUGUAGAACACAGGGAGAAAAUACCUAUUCACAUUCACAAGGGUAUUAUUGAGAUUAAUUAAUUAAUGUUUACAAAGCAGCCAGAAUGUGGGGAAAAACACAUUUUCUUUACUAUUUAAAGUGCAUUUCAAAGGUAAAGAGGCAAAUUGUGUUUGCAGUUUAGAAUUAUUUGCUUAUUUACUUUGCAUGUUCAGAUAAAUUGCUGUUUUUAUGCUUGUUCUCCUCAACCAUACACUGGAUUCUAAUAUUCACUUCUUCUAUAUUUGAGCAGAAACUAUAGCCCUUUACUUUUUGUCUCUACAAAGUUCAUGUAACUGGUCAAUGUAUAUAUUAUUUCUUCUUUUCAAAGGUAGCUCAUUCUGAAAAACGUACAGGUUAUUUUAAACCUGCUUUAUUUUUCCUUUGUCAACAUGAUACACUUUAUUUUGUCCUUUCAGUAUGAUUUUAUGUAAAGCUAUUGCAUUUUGACUUUUUUUAUUUUUUUUUAUCCAGAUACGGAUUUGAUGCUACUGUUUCAGUUCUUUACCACGAAUGUGACAUGACUUCAUAGUGCUGCCUUUCUAUUGAGGGGGUAUGAAGGUGUAGGCUCAGAGAGAAUGACAGAGUAUAGUCAUGGUGUUUUCCUGCCGUAUUUAUUUAUUUCUAUUAUGCUGUUUGAAGUCUUUGAAAUUAAAACUAAGCAUUCAUGAUUUUUAAAGGGUUCCAAAUGUUAAUUUUGUCUCUAAAGCUUAUCAGAGUCUUCUACUUCCCUAUUCAAGUUUGCCUCUUCAUUACCUUCUUAGCACUGUGUUUUGAGUAGAUUACGGCAGGCUCUUCUCAGUGGAUAUUGAUCCUUUUGUCCUAAUUUAAUGCAUAUUACACAGCCAGUGAUUGUGUAAAGGCAUGGAGAUUACAUGAUUAGCUGCGGUAUCUUUAUACCAAUUUCUAGUUAGUUAACUGGUACCAAAAGGCCAGGGCACAGCCAGGAGUUCUAGUUAAAUUAGUAUCAAGCUGCCAUCUUAUUAUUUUUGCAUGAUCUCUUGUUUGGCAAAAAGCUUUAGAGAAAAAGUAAAAUUAUGCUUUUUAUUCUUGAAAAGAGAAAAUAAUUAAUCUGUUCUGUAUUUUUCUCCCAGACCCCCAGUUAUCCCUCCUUUGAUGACAAGUAGCUCUGAGAUUUUUUUUGGGGGGGGAUUAUUUUUUGUUUAGGAAAAAUUUUGCUCAUAAUAGAUUUAAAAAAAUUAGGGAAAGGUAAUAACAUCUUGAUGUGGAAAGAUCAGAUAUAAACUGAAUUAUAUAGUUUUAUGAAUGGCAUAUGUCCAUGGUGCAUCAAAGGAACACAAGGUUUGUCUGAAGCUUACUUAAGGGUUAUGCUCUUUGAGACUAGUAAAGAACAAGGGAACAUCACUCAGCUUCCCUCCUUCUACCCUCAAGAUACAAAAAUUAAAUUCAUUUCUUCUCUAAUACCUUAUCCAAUAAAUACAGAUAUUCUGAUCUGAAGUUAGAGCAUCUGGGUAAUCACAUUGUUGUGAUUGUUACAAGAUGUAUAAAACAUUAUUCUAUAAAUCAGCAAGAAACAAAGUCCAUAAACUGGUUAACUAACAGGUGCAUAGAAUAUAUUUGGUUUUAUACUAUCAUAAGGACCCAUGAAGAGAUGAGAUGACAUUUUUGAGGGUUAGAGUUGGAUUUGAAUUCUUUAGAGAUGAUGAAAUUUUUAGGUUUUCUUUUCCUCUCUCCAAACUGACAAAAUAUUUCACAAGUUAAGGGAAACAUUAAAAGUGUAAUGAAAACACAAUGCCCAAGACUGCAUAAAUGCAUAUCAUUUAUUUACAUUUCUAUAUUUUGCAAAGCUAAAUUAUUGGAUCUCUUUGUUGUUUUGACAGAGCCAUGCUGAGAAGUAACCUAAUACUUAUUUUGAGGUGCUUUUGGCUAGAACUGAAACUACAAGCACUAGAGGGUUGGACAAAUGCCUCUUUUAACACAGAGUUUUCCAAGAAUGUGCUUUGCUCUCUUAACCUUAAGAUUUAUUAAAAAUCAAUUUGUUAUUUUUAACUUGAACCAGUUUAACAGAAGGUAGAAAUGUGUGGCCACAUACAGUUAGAUAAAUGUUUGCAUCUUUACAAAUAGAUAAAUUGUUUUGUAACUAUUGCCUUGUUCUGUGGCAUAUACAGUUAUUCGCUUGUCUAGCUGGGAUGUUAUUAACUUAUUUAUAUUCAGUAAAAUAAUAUUACCCACUUCUGUAAUGAAAGGCACUCUGCUUUAGAUUUAGGUAUUGAUUUUUAAAAAAUGUAAAAUAGAAAUCAGUAUACACAUCAAUAUGCAACUUUGAUGAUGCUGUUGGACGUGUAUUUGUUUUAAAAAACUCCAGUUACAUUAUGUGAAGAUGAGUAUUUACAUGUGACCCAGCUUUGGGUUGAAGAGCCUAUGUCUGCUUUAACUCUUUGUGUCAUAGAUCAUAUUUACUUAAAUAGAAUGUCCCAUGAUUUGAUUACUAGAGAUCAGUACCGCAAUAGUUAGCAUAGUGCUGGAUGGAAUGAAAUAAUCUUUUGUUGAAUAAGUGGAUUGAAGAUAUGAGAGUAAAUUUAGAAGUCAUAUCAGAAGUUUGUCAUGAGGGGAAGAAAGUAUCGAAAUUGAAGUCUUUCAGCAAAUUUAGCAAAUGUUGGAGGGUUCAGUGUGUUGAAGUUCUCAUAGUAGAGAAUCACAAGUUUUACUGAGCUCUCUAUUGACCAAAUGUGAUACAUUUUUUAUGUCCAGGAAGUAGUCUUCCUAUUCAACUGGAGGAAUAAUGCUUUAACUAUGUAUUGAUAAAUGAUUAGCUCUUGUUUUACCAUGAAUCUUGUGAUCUCUACCUCUUGUUCAAGCAGUUAAUCACAUACUGCCUUGCAAUGUUUCAUGGGUUGGGUUGUCCCUUUGUAUAGUUAUUUAGCUUUUCUAUUGUUUAUGACCCCAUGUAGAGCAUAUCCACAAAUAAAUUAUCAAGGCAAGGAAUAAAGUAUCCAUAUGUGUGGUGUGUCUGUCCAUGAUUGCAUGCUCUGCACAUCAAAAGUAUUGCAGAUUUGAUAGCAGAAGACCCAGUACUAUAAAAUAGGAUAGGACUGCAUAAUAUACAUUAAAAUAGUUACUAUUAUACAUUUAUAAGAAAGAAAAUAUCAGAUAAGCAGAUAAAAGUUGACC
rnacentral:lncRNA from 1 species